CCUUUCAAUGCAGCAGUACCGGGAUGGUGACUGGCUCUCGCAGCCGUUUCCUCCUCGAUACUGCCUGUAUUACACCCUUGUCUCUCAAAUACUACUUGUUUCCUCGGCAGGCUUGCCUGCCGGUUGGAUCAACCUAUAACCUUUUUAAUUUUCAAUCAGCGUCUGAAUAAGUUAAUAAUUA
rnacentral:misc_RNA from 1 species